rnacentral:rRNA from 1 species
UGCCAGACUCCUACGGGAGGCAGCAGUGGGGAAUAUUGGGCAAUGGGCGCAAGCCUGACCCAGCAACGCCGCGUGAAGGAAGAAGGCUUUCGGGUUGUAAACUUCUUUUGACAGGGAAGAGCAGAAGACGGUACCUGUCGAAUAAGCCACGGCUAACUACGUGCCAGCAGCCGCGGUAAUACGUAGGUGGCAAGCGUUGUCCGGAUUUAUUGGGUUUAAAGGGUGCGUAGGCGGUAUUUUAAGUUAGUGGUAAAACGUCGGGGCUUCACCUUGAUUGGCCAUUAAAACUGGAGUACUAGAGUACAGACGAGGUAGGCGGACUAAGUUAAGUAGCGGUGAAAUGCUUAGAUAUAACUUAGAACCCCGAUAGCGAAGGCAGCUUACCAGACUGUUACUGACGCUGAAGCACGAGAGCGUGGGUAGCGAACAGGAUUAGAUACCCGAGUA